rnacentral:misc_RNA from 1 species
GAAAUGGACCUCCAGAGUCAGUAUUUGACUGGACGAGGGAAAUAGGAUCAGAUUUUUCAAAUCAAAAUGCCAAUAGUCAAGCUUUUUCACGGAAGCAUUGGCGUCUAGUUCAGUGCCAAAAUGGACUUCGCAUCUUUGAAGAGCUUGUGGAGGUUGACUACCUUCCAAGGAGCUAUAGUAGGGCAAUGAAAGCUGUUGGUGUAGUGGAGGCUACUUGUGAGGAAAUCUUUGAACUUG